CCCUCUCUCUAGUGACUACAUACUGCUCAGGAGUGAGUUUCUUUUGCCAGUCUGUCGUCUCGUCAUAGCGGGGCGAAUGAAGGCCGGGAUGCUCCGCCGUGACAACAAUGGCAGGCCGGCUCUCGAGUGUUUGUAAAUCAGAAAGAUGCGCGCGACCAGACGAGACAUGCUUGCGGCGUCGGGUGCAACAGAGCCAGCUGCUGAAUGACGCUGAAUGCUGAUUUGAGCAGGAGUAGUAAAUGACUGAUCCCGCACAAUUCGAUGAAGACAGGACAGAUUUGCUCGUCCUCCAUAAACACAAAUAAGAACAUUAAAAUUGUUG